rnacentral:rRNA from 1 species
UACGUAGGUGGCGAGCGUUAUCCGGAUUUACUGGGCGUAAAGAGCGCGCAGGCGGUCGUGCAAGUCGGAUGUGAAAGCCCUCGGCUCAACUGGGGAAAGUCAUUCGAUACUGCUCGACUUGAAGGCGGGAGAGGGAAGCGGAAUUCCCGGUGUAGUGGUGAAAUGCGUAGAUAUCGGGAGGAACACCAGUGGCGAAGGCGGCUUCCUGGCCCGUUCUUGACGCUGAGGCGCGAAAGCUAGGGGAGCAAACGGG